AAAAAGUGGGCAAGAAGGAGCGUUGAACAUAUCGUGGCCAGUGGUUUCCGUGCGCUAGAGAGCGUGUGAAUUGCGCCUAAUUACCGGAUCCUCUUGGAAGCCGGACGCGCAUCCGUGUCCGUCCUUCAGGCCCAGAGACACGGUCGCCGCAGCCCCCGGGAGUAGUUUUAACUUUGGCCUCACUCUCCCGUCCUUACGUCAGGGCCCUGAGUCACAGCUCAGUCUGCAGAGUCCCCCAGGUCCGAGACCCACAGCCUUUCUUCUGGUGCGCCCGAGGCUGGGGUGCUCAGGUGAGUGGCUGUGUCUUGGAGAGAGGUGGAGUGCUGUCCCGGAUGGAGGUCACUGCAGUCAGUCGUCCACGUGCCACUCUGGGGCUGGUGCCGGUUUGGACUCCGGUCAGGAAGAGGGGAGCAGACUGGAAGGUGUGGUCAGCAUGCCCAGACUGAGGCAGCAGGGGCUCCCCCUCUACUUAGAGCAGGGCGUGGCUUCACAUCUGGACACGCCACCUGCACCUGUGACCUCAUUCUGCAAAGCCUUGCGCACCCCCUCAUACCUGCGUGCCAUUACCUACCGCCGGGGAGCACUCACCUCGGAGGCUGCCCUCCCACCCAGGAGGACACUGGAGCAAGUCCCAUCGAAUUCACAGCGCUUUCAUAAGCGUGCCCACAUCGUGGGACAUCCACUGGGUGUGUGACCUCUCACCCAGACGCCCGCAGACUCCCACCUGGGGACUGCACACCCAGACAGGAGCAUAUGCUCACACUCUGCCCUGGCUCCUCCGCUGACCUAACCCUAUUCCCCGGGCUCUGCAGGUGGCUGUCUCCGGGUAGAGAAGUCAGACCUCCCCAGACAAACCCGGGAGCUGAGGGCACAAGGACAAGCUCACUCGCACGCACAAGUCCUCUUAGCUCGGGAUCAUUUGCUGAGGCCCUUGCUGUGCCAGGGGCCGGGGCCCCGCGAGUGCCCCCAGCCAUGCAUGUCCACCUCCAGCCACGCUCUUUGCUGGCCCCAACCCCACGCCCCUCUCCCCCAGGCAGUGGUGGGAUCAAAGGGAAGACCUUGGCGGAGGCGCGAGGCGAGACCGCGGGGGAGAGGGGCGGCGAGGAGCCGGCGGCGCGCUGGCCCCGAGCAGGAGCGCUCACUGCUGGGCGCCCGCGAGGCUUUGACUUUUGCGCUGUUGGUCCGCGGCCUCGCAGCUAGCAGACGCCAUCUGUUUGCCGGCGGCAGCGCGUGGCCCGUUUAAUUACCCUCCCGGCAGCCUAAUAGAGAUGAUAUUAAACUAAAUCUUUCUGACAU